AAAUUGAUACAUGAAGUACCUUGUAUAAGUUCAGGAAUAUGGCCUGAGCGUUUCUACCAGCUACCGGAAAUAGCUUGUCUACAGGGAAGAGUGAAUGUUGA
rnacentral:ncRNA from 2 species